rnacentral:rRNA from 1 species
UACGUAGGCAGCAAGCGUUGUUCGGAGUUACUGGGCGUAAAGAGUAUGUAGGCGGUUGCGUAAGUUCGGUGUGAAAUCUCCCGGCUUAACUGGGAGGGUGCGCCGAAAACUGCGUGGCUUGAGUGCGGGAGAGGAGAGCGGAAUUCCUGGUGUAGCGGUGAAAUGCGUAGAUAUCGUAAGGAAGACCAGUGGCGAAGGCGGGUCUCUGGACAGUUCCUGACGCUGAGGCACGAAGGUCAGGGGAGCAAACGGG